AGCACAGUCGUAGAAAUGCACAAUCGGAAUGUGGACGUAAAUGCGUUUCACCCAGUUAGUAGUUAUUAUUGUCGCUUUCGCCAAAAUACAAUCACGAUGUGUCGUAGUUUUAGUUAAACGUUUGGGAAACUUCCGUAAACAAAAGACACAACAAUUUGUAACGUGCACUUAUAUCUUUACGUGAUACUACGUUUAAGAUUUAUAUGACAUAUUAAUUACAAAGCAAUGUAUCGCCCAUUCGAUGAAACAUUCGAUGUACGAGACUUUACAUUUUCGGGUACAUUCCAUAGAAGGCAUACGACGUCAGGUGAAAUUUAGAAACUACCACAGGAAAAUGAGAAAACAGAGACAAGGAAUGAGUCAAGAACAGAACAUAAUGUACCGACCUAAAAUAUAAGAAAAAUACCUAAAAGAUAAUAACAAUGAGAAAGAGAGAGUACUAUCAAUAAAUCGUGAAUUCAGGUAAAACUAACACUACUGAAUAAGGUCUGUUGGCCUUACAUCGUGCAAGACUAAACAAGGUCAUCAAUCGCAUAUUGAUAUAUUGAACUACAAAUGCAGAUGCGAUCUCGUCAAAUGAGGUGUCUGAUGAUAUAAUCGCCAGAGUAUUUUAAAAUUAUAACAAAAAGUUAGCAAAUCAGUAAAACCGUCAGAGGUGGGCGGCUCUGGCAUACAUCAUGCGCUGGCGCACCUACACAUGCACACAGUAUUUAUAACGUAAACAUAUGGCCCGCCUGUACUAGACCGACCAACACCAAUGGCAGUAAAUUCCUACCUCUAUACUAUCGCUGAAUAAACAUUUGGGAAGUUUAUGGACAAUCAAGCAGGUGCAAUAUUUAAACAAAUUCAUCAAUAUGUCCAGAAUACAAAACUCGUAAAUAUGGUCAUAAAAAUUAGAAAAUAAUCCUGUUCUAAACGAAUAUUCUAAUUUCAAAUUUAAAUUUCUAUUUAAAAACUUAUUGUUUUAUCAGCUACAUAAAGGUAUAAGUACCUACCCACAUUAGUAAUGAUAAAUGUUGUAGUCUAA